rnacentral:ncRNA from 2 species
GGUCUCCAAGGUGAACAGCCUC